rnacentral:lncRNA from 1 species
UUGAGGUGUCUGGUCGUACAAGAAGCAGGAGGGCGACAAGGGUUCUUCACCAAACCCUAACUCUCACAAAAAUUGAUCAAUUGAAGGAUCAAAUCAAGUCCAAAACGAAAAUCGAGCAUAGAUUAAUGAUCCCCAUUGCAAGGAGAUCAUAAGUUUGACGCCUAAUGAGCUAGAUGGAAGCUUGUGGAUGAAGCGGGUCAAACGGAGCAAGUACGGAAAGAAAAGCGUGGCAUGGAUGCAAGGAUGAACGGCUCGUAAAUUGGCGAUUCUAUGAAAUAGCAAGUAAGUGAAGACAAGGUAUUAAAACGGGUCAAUGUGUUGAUCCGAGCCAGGUACGUAUAAUUAUGUGGUAGUUAAAGUGCUAAUUUAGUCAAUUAGAUAGAGAUGGUCCUUCGCUGUAAAACGAAGGACAUAAAGUGGACCAAAAAGCCCUUAACGGGUGAACCGGGUAAACGACCGUUAGAGUUUGUUUAGAAACUUGUUUAUUGAUUUUGAAACCCUUAGAUACAUAUAAAAAGUAUGGGUAAAAACGUUUGCGGGUCAAAGUAGACUAAAAAGUAAAUUGUGGUUAAAUGCUUAGAGAGAUAUAAAUGAAUCGGUGAAUGCAAACGCCUACGUAAACUCUAGGAUGGGAGCGAAAACGUUAAGGUUUGACAAGCCCGGGAUGGGUAAAAUGAUAGGAAUUAACUAUUUUCUUUUUAGAGCAUGUAGUGAAAUAUUAAUACCAAACGGGUCGAAUAAUCACCUAAAGGACUUAUGAGUCAACAUUGGAUAAAUCAGAUUUUUAUGCAAACCAAAGUGAUAAUCGGGUCAGCAAUUUAAUUACGGACGCGUAGGAAAAAGUAUCGUGUAAAACGGACAUAUAGAUUAAAAGUUAUGACCAUUUGAAGUUUAAUUUUUGUUAAAAACUUGAGCUGGGCAGAAAAUGCAGGUCCAGAAACGGACCUGCUGGAAAUUAGUUUCCCCCACGCCACGCGACGGGAUCCGGUAAUUGGGGCGCCACACGCGACAGAACAAGGGACUCCUCCCGCGUGUCGCGGGAGGCAUAAAUUGGAAAAUUUUAUUUUAUUUUCAUUUGUUGAUAAAGGGACUUGAUAAAACUAGUUAUCUCAGUAUCAAAACUAACAUUGGUGUUGGUUUUGAUUACAGGUAAACUUUAGUAAGCUUACGGAUGAAGAUCAAGCUCGUUGAAGGACCGAACACAAUCAAGAUACAAGCUUCCGCACGGCGUUGCGUCGUAACUUUUAAACGACGAACUUAUUUAUAUUAUGUUGAAAACUUUUAAGUUGUAAAAGAUUUAAAUUACACGUAUUUUCUAAGGAUACUUAAUCGUAAUUACAUGUUUAUUUUCAUUUUUAUACGAAAACCUUUAAAAUAAUAACAAGGGUGUUACAAGUUGGUAAUCAGAGCUCAAGGUUAAAAGAAUAAAGUGUUCGGUUCGAGACUUGAUCGCAGAUCCGGUAAGUACAAGUAUGUUAAUGGUUUGGUUUUAUUAAAGUGUUGUGAACAACACAUAAGGUAUCGUGUAAUACACGUUACACCAACAAAAAUGAUUAGUAUAGUUAACGAAAUCACGUGCAGUAAAAAGCCUUGUAUUGCAAUACGUGCAUUUAUUAAUGUAGAAAUUACUAACUUUUGUAAAUGUUUAGUUGAAGGACGCUCGCAUCUGAAGAUGACGAGAGUUGAACGAAUUAUGGAUAUGACGGUGGAACGGUCUGAGGUAUGACAAGCUGAGUAUACUCACCAAGGACCUAAAUCGCGUAACGACCGCGAAUAAGAUUAAUGGCAAGGAACGCCCGUUGGGGCAAGCAUUACCAGUUUGACGCCUAACGAGCUAGAUGGAAGCUUGUGGAUGAAGUGGGUCAAACGGAGCAAGUACGGAAAGAAAAGCGUGGCAUGGAUGCAAGGAUGAACGGCUCGUAAAUUGGCGAUUCUAUGAAAUAGCAAGUAAGUGAAGACAAGGUAUUAAAACGGGUCAAUGUGUUGAUCCGAGCCAGGUAAACUUUAGUAAGCUUACGGAUGAAGAUCAAGCUCGUUGAAGGACCGAACACAAUCAAGAUACAAGCUUCCGCACGGCGUUGCGUCGUAACUUUUAAACAACAAACUUAUUUAUAUUAUGUUGAAAACUUUUAAGUUGUAAAAGAUUUAAAUUACACGUAUUUUCUAAGGAUACUUAAUCGUAAUUACAUGUUUAUUUUC